GUGCCAGCAGCCGCGGUAAUACAGAGGGGGCAAGCGUUGUUCGGAAUUACUGGGCGUAAAGGGCGCGUAGGCGGCCUUCUAAGUCAGACGUGAAAUCCCCGGGCUCAACCCGGGAACUGCGUCUGAUACUGGAAGGCUUGAAUCCGGGAGAGGGAUGUGGAAUUCCAGGUGUAGCGGUGGAAUGCGUAGAUAUCUGGAGGAACACCGGUGGCGAAGGCGGCAUCCUGGACCGGUAUUGACGCUGAGGCGCGAAAGCCAGGGGAGCAAACGGGAUUAGAUACCCCAGUAGUCC
rnacentral:rRNA from 1 species